UGCAGCAGAAAAUACUACAUGGGUGAGGCCAGAGCUGCAGCUCUACAAAAAUGUCACAGUGUCCUAAGGAAUGCCCAAAUCCUUCCACUCUUGUGAUGUCACCAGCACCUCAGGUUGCUUCAUAUAUGCAACCACCUACAGAAACAUCAGCACACAUGAACCUAAGGCAUUUCUGCACAAGGAUAUUUUCCACUCUCUAGUUCAUUAAAUUCAGGUGGGAAGCUGGAUCAUGAGUGAUCAAGUUUGUCACGACUCAUUCAUAAUCUGAACGAUUAAGGUGUGCAAUCACCACCAGGACAACGAAAGCAACAUUUUAGGCCAAUUCUCUCUACAGUUUAAGUUGCUUCUUUAUGGCAACAGUACUUCAGUGUCCAUGAUCAAGUCAAGUUUGACCUUUUGAGAAAAGAAAGCAAGCAGAAUUUUAAAUGCCCUCUAUUUGCAUUCAGAAACAUACAGAAGAGUUUUAACAUUGUGAUCAAAAGUAUUUUCUAUACAAACAACUGUGUGACAGAAUAAUGCAAGCUUUUUUUCACACUUUUUUCAGUAAGGUAAAAAAAUAAGUUACUUCAAUUUAGAAGAGCAGAAGAUAACCAGUUACUGCCCUGUCCCAAAAUGUCCAAAAGGUUUAUGAAGUUCCUCAUCAUUCUCACAUCACUUUUCUGUGUUUAUGAAGUUCCAGAAUUAUGAUCAAAGACAA